rnacentral:rRNA from 1 species
GAUGAACGCUGGCGGCGUGCCUAAUACAUGCAAGUCGAGCGAACAGAUGAGGAGCUUGCUCCUCUGACGUUAGCGGCGGACGGGUGAGUAACACGUGGAUAACCUACCUAUAAGACUGGGAUAACUUCGGGAAACCGGAGCUAAUACCGGAUAAUAUAUUGAACCGCAUGGUUCAAUAGUGAAAGACGGUUUUGCUGUCACUUAUAGAUGGAUCCGCGCCGCAUUAGCUAGUUGGUAAGGUAACGGCUUACCAAGGCUACGAUGCGUAGCCGACCUGAGAGGAUGAUCGGCCACACUGGAACUGAGACACGGUCCAGACUCCUACGGGAGGCAGCAGUAGGGAAUAUUGGGCAAUGGGCGAAAGCCUGACGGAGCAACGCCGCGUGAGUGAUGAAGGUCUUCGGAUCGUAAAGCUCUGUUGUUAGGGAAGAACAAAUGUGUAAGUAACUAUGCACGUCUUGACGGUACCUAAUCAGAAAGCAACGGCUAACUACGUG